rnacentral:rRNA from 1 species
GACGAACGCUGGCGGCGUGCCUAACACAUGCAAGUCGAGCGGAGAUAAGCGGAUGGUAACUGAAGUUUGUCUUAGCGGCGGACGGGUGAGUAACACGUGGGCAACCUGCCUUGGAGUGGGGGAUAACACCGGGAAAUCGGUGCUAAUACCGCAUAACAUACACAUACUGCAUGGUGAGUGUAUCAAAGGAGCAAUCCGCUUUAAGAUGGGCCCGCGGCUGAUUAGCUAGUUGGUAAGGUAACGGCUUACCAAGGCGACGAUCAGUAGCCGACCUGAGAGGGUGACCGGCCACACUGGAACUGAGACACGGUCCAGACUCCUACGGGAGGCAGCAGUGGGGAAUAUUGCGCAAUGGGGGAAACCCUGACGCAGCAACGCCGCGUGGAGGAAGAAGGUCUUCGGGAUUGUAAACUCCUGUCUUCUGGGACGAAGUAUGACGGUACCAGAGGAGGAAGCCACGGCUAACUACGUG